rnacentral:rRNA from 1 species
CACGUAGGGCGCAAGCGUUGUCCGGAAUUAUUGGGCGUAAAGAGCUCGUAGGCGGUCUGUUGCGUCUGCUGUGAAAACCCGGGGCUUAACCCCUGGCUUGCAGUGGAUACGGACAGACUAGAGGUAGGUAGGGGAGAAUGGAAUUCCCGGUGUAGCGGUGAAAUGCGUAGAGAUUAGGAAGAACACCAGUGGCGAAGGCGACUCUCUGGACCGUAACUGACGCUGAGGCAUGAAAGCGUGGGGAGCAAACAGG